rnacentral:rRNA from 1 species
CUUGAAUAAAAGUAGAUUUUUCUUCAUAACUCAAAGAAUUUGGCGGUUAAUCUUAUAUUCAGAGGAACCUGUGUAUUAAUUGAUAAACCACGAUAGUUUUUACUUUCUAGUUAUUUAUAUAUCUCUAUGUAAUGAUUGUUUUUUAAGAAUUAAUUUUCUUUUAGUUUAUUCAAUUAUAUUAGGUCAAGGUGUAGUUUUUAGAGUAGUUUAUAUGGGUUACUUUAGUUUUUAAUUUUAAUUUUAUAUUUAUGAUUAACAUAUUUAUUGUUUAGGAUUUGAUAGUAAUUUAAAUUAAUUAAUUAUUUUGAAUUUUU